AUCUCCCUGUGUCAGGUGUGACCGGAUGACUGCAUUCUGGUGGAGGGUGUAUAAGAGGACAGAGGGCGUCCAUGUCUAGGAUAAGCCUUCUAAGAAGUGGAUGUGCCCACUCCAUAUUCUUUUUCCACUUUUUCCAACAGAGUGAGGGUUACAACAAGUCCUCCGGUGAUAGUGGAGUCACAAUAUAGAAGAAGCCUUCGUUGCCAAGGAGGAAAUCUGCUCAAGGACCAGGAACUCCUGCAGUGGAUGUUUGAAACACUUUAAAUGAAUUAUAGAUGGAAGAACUGUCUUAUUUGAGCCAAAAGUUAAGACACGGAAAGCUAUGCUGAAGAUGGUAGCCUGUCAAGAUGGAAGGAUCUUGAGGACCACACUCACCCUGACAACAAUAUUGGACAGUGAUAUGGUCAAGCCGUAAGUGUUAAGACACUAAAAUCUUGAGAUUGCUUGUUGUAGAAGUUAACCUCCUCUGACUUUAAAGUUCUGAUUUAA